UGUUGCAUAUAUUACAGGCACAUGGUGGAUGCCUAGGGAUAUCAAGGCGAUGAAGGACGUGACGUGACUGCGAAAAGCCUCGGGGAGGUGUCUAGUAACCUUUGAUCCGGGGAUGUCCGAAUGGGGAAACCCCUUCACGAGAAAUCGUGAAGAGUUUCGCGUAAGCGAGACGGCUAACCCGCUGAAGUAAAACAUUCUAGUAAGCGGAGGAAAAGACAACGUAUGUGAUUCCCUUAGUAGCGGCGAGCGAAAAGGGACCAGUCUAAACCUUGUGUCGCAAGACAUGGGGGGUUGAAAGGGGAUAGCUUCGGGAGUAUUUCGGGUGCACUGAAAUAUUUGCCGAGGGAGAGUACAAAGGUAAGGGUUGGUUAGGAGAAUGCUUUUGGAAAGAAGCAGCCAAAGAGGGUAAUAGCCCCGUAUCUAAAAACUACCUUAUGCUCCUUGCUAUCCUUCUUAAGUACCUCGGGACAUGAAUAGCCCGUGGGAAGCAGGCCGAACUAAUCGGCCAAGACUAAAUACUUGAUAUCACCGAUAGUGAACCAGUACCGUGAGGGAAAGGUGAAAAGAAGCCCGAUGAGGGCAGUGAAAUAGAACCUGAAACCAUGUUGCCUACAAAGAGUCGGAGCUCUGACGCAAGUCAGGGUGACGGCGUGCUUUUUGCAGAACGAGCCAACGAGUGUACUUAGAUGCUACGUCUAAGCCCUUCUGGGGCGGAGGCACAGCGAAAGCGAGUGUGAAUAACGCGAACAAUUAGCUUCUAUGUACGACCCGAAGCCAAGCGAGCUUGCCAUGACCAGGGUGAACCCCCGAGAAAUCGGGGGGGAGGCCCGAACCCGUGAGCCGUUCAAUACUCUGGGAUGAGUUGUGGUAAGAAGCGAAAAACUAAUCGAGCUUGGUAAUAGCUGGUUCUCCCCGAAAUAGUUUUAGGACUAGCGUCGAUCGCAGGUCUUGGAGGUAGAGCACUGGAAAGAAUAUUUUGGCGCAAGCCAGGUAUUCUUAUCAAACUUCGAAUGCCAGGACCAUAAGGAUCGGCAGUAAGAACGUGGGGGCUAAGCUCCAUGCUCAAAAGGGAAACAGCCCAGAUCUUCAUCUAAGGUCCCUAAAUUAAGCUAAGUGCAAAACGAGGAAGUGGUAUUCCAUAGAUAGCUAGGAGGUUCGCUCAGAAGCAGCUAUCCUUUAAAAAGUGCGUAACAGCUUACUAGCUAAGGAAUUCCGCGCCGCAGAUGUAUAGGGGCUCAAGCUUAAUACCGAAGAUAAGAAUUCUUUCGCUUUUCGCGAAAGAGUGGUAGGGGAGCGUCUUCAUUAGCUGUGAAGCUUAGCCGGAAGGCUAGGUGGAGCAAUGAGGAGUGAGAAUGUUGGCAUGAGUAACCGCAAUGGCAGUGAAAGCCUGCCACACCGAAAACCCAAGGUUUCCUUGGCAAUGAUAAUCAUCCAAGGGUUAGGCGGUCCUAACCUCGCGCCAGAAUAUGGCGAAGGGAUGGACAGGAGGUUAAUAUUCCUCCCCCUUGUUCCAUGCUUCUUUGAGAUGACGAAGAGUAGUAGCUCGGGCGAGUUAUCGGAUUUUUGUUCGUUGUAUAGCCCUUCUUGCCGUAAGGCGAGUUGGGGAGUACCGCGACGACCCGCCGUAAGGUGGGGAAGCCGAGUAAGCACUCUUCCAGGAAAAGUCUUAAAGAUAUGAGUGGAAUAAGUCCGUACCGCAAACCGACACAGGUGGGUUGGCGUAAGUGCGCCAAGGUGAACGUGUGAAAGCUCCUGAAGGAACUCGGCAAAAAAGUGGUCGUAACUUCGGGAUAAGAUCUGCCCCAAACCCGCGAGGGUGCGGGGCCGCAGCUACCGUUUCUCAAGCGACUGUUUAUCAAAAACACAGGUCUCUGCUUAAUUCGUAAGAGGAUGUAUAGAGGCCGACACCUGACCAGUGCUGGAGUGUUAAUCCUGCCGGUUCCUGCCGCAAGGUGGGCAGCUGAGUGGGUGAAGCCCCAGUGAACGUCCGCGAUAACUAUAAUCGUGUUAAAGUAGGAAAUCUGCUUUAGUAAAAUCUGGCUAUAUGCUGGAACGUCUGGAGUAUCGAGCGCUACUCUGAUAGAAUAAAGAUAAGGGUAUAUAGAACCUUAUCUUCAUGAAAAGUAACAAAGCGACUCGUGCAGACAAUCAGCAGGAAAGACUUGCAUACAUUGGGUGGAUUGUGGGAUUUGUUGAUGGUGAAGGAUGCUUCACUGUAAGUUUCUUUACGCAUCCUAAAUCUCGUCUUCGAUUGAAAUGGCAGGUAUUUCCAGAGUUUGUGAUUUCUCAAGAGACCAAAAGCAAAAAAGCUCUUGAAGGCAUACGAAAAUUCUUCGGAUGCGGUGCGUUGUAUCUAAACAAACGAUAUGACAAUCAUCAUGAACAUAUGAUGAAAUAUGUUGUCCGUAAUAGAGAAGAUCUCCUAAGAAGGAUUAUUCCUUUCUUUGAACACUAUCCAUUGAAAACGGCAAAGAAAAACGAUUUUCGUAUCUUCGCGCAGAUUGUGCGAAUGAUGGCGAAGGGUAAACAUCUUCAAGAGAAAGGAUUAGAAAGAAUACGACAGAUGGUCAUGAAGAUGAAUACGAGAAAAUACCGUUAAUUGUAAGAAUCCUCAGAGACUAUACGCCAGAAUCGCCUUAGGCGAUAAGAUAUAGUCCGAACUCUAUGGCGACAUAGAGAGUAAGAUGGAAACAUCUUGCCGCAUUAUCUUUUAGGUAAUGUUUAAGUAACAGAUUGAGCGUAACCCCUUGCCUCGUAAGUUGAGGCCCGCAUGAAAGGUGUAACGACUUGGAAACUGUCUCCAGGAGCAGCACGGUGAAGAUGCAGCACCGGUGAAGAUGCCGGUUACCUGCGGCUAGACGGAAAGACCCCGGGAGCUUUACUGUAGCUUCUCAUUGUUUUAUCAUUUCGGAUGCGUAGCGUAGCGGGCAGGCUUUGAAGUUCCUCUUUUGGGAGGGAUGGAGCCAACAAUGAAACACCCGUCUUUUGAGAGGAUAAGACUAAUUGCGCCGUCAAAGGCACAUGACAGUGGGAGGUGGUCAGUUUUAGUGGGGCGCUAGCCUCCAAAAAAGUAACGGAG
rnacentral:rRNA from 1 species